rnacentral:rRNA from 1 species
GUCUACAGCCAUGCCACCCUGAACAAACCCGAUCCCAUCUGAUCUCAGAAGCUAAGCGGGGUUAGGCCUGAUUAGCACUUGGAUGGAGAUCACCUAGGAAGACCAGGUGUUGUAGGCA